UGCAGAAAAAUUGCAGACCUUUGCUUGAUAUGUAAACAAAGCAGCGCGCAGUUGCCAUGUGUGCAUUUAUGGAGGAGAAACUGUGUGAGUACAGUUAGUCCUGCAGACGCCUGAAGUACAGUGUGGUGUGCGUGGAUGUGUACCGCGAAGACGAAUAGGAGACGGUGAUAUUAUUAACCGACUCGAAGCCUUUAUAGUGUUGUGAAGUGAUGCGUGAUGUCGAAUUCGAAUCUAAUGAAGUUGUUUUGAGAGAGAAAUUGAACUUGAAAAGUCUCAAGGGAAAACAGAAGCGAACAUAAAUAGCGGUCAUGGUGCUGAAGGAUAAUAAAUGACCGUGUGAUUUAGAAAUGUGGCACUUUCUGUGAGUAGUUUUAAGACGCUGUGGUUACUAAAGGGAAAACCAGGAUCUCCCAAAUGAAAAGCAAGAAUGAUGAACAGAUAAGAUAAAAAAGAACAGGAACUAAGAGAAAAAGAAGAAGCAUAGGAAAUAGG